rnacentral:misc_RNA from 1 species
UGCAAUGCUAAGCCCCUUAAGAAAAGCCAGAACUAGUGUGAGACUCCUCCUGGCGAAUCGAGGAAAUAUACCUAUGUUGGUCGCCUAUCUGUUAUCUUGCAUCUGCCAUGGAAGACGAAUUCAAUUCAUUCUUUAGUAUGCUCUUUCACUAUGGAUGAUCUAUUAACUGAACCUGGAAAACGAGAUUGAUAGCGAAACAAAGAUACAAGCCUAAGGCUUGGGGACCAACUCACUCAUUUAAUAGUAGAGAAUUCCAGCAUUGGUUCAAGGUCAAUCUGCAGCUCCCAUCUUUGAAAGGCAAUUGAAAACUCACUUCACACCAACAGAAUAUAGAAGAAUUCCCCUGUUGGUUGGAAAAGAGAAAGAAAUGGGAUUUUUGGGCG